AGGGAUACAGCUCAGUGGUAGAACAUCUGCUUUGAAUGCAGAAGGUCCCUGGUUCAAUUCCUGGCAUCUCCA